GACGAACGCUGGCGGCGUGCCUAAUACAUGCGAGUCGAGCGGACCGGAUUGGGGCUUGCCUUGAUUCGGUCAGCGGCGGACGGGUGAGUAACACGUGGGCAACCUGCCCGCAAGACCGGGAUAACUCCGGGAAACCGGAGCUAAUACCGGAUAACACCGAAGACCGCAUGGUCUUCGGUUGAAAGGCGGCCUUUGGGCUGUCACUUGCGGAUGGGCCCGCGGCGCAUUAGCUAGUUGGUGAGGUAACGGCUCACCAAGGCGACGAUGCGUAGCCGGCCUGAGAGGGUGACCGGCCACACUGGGACUGAGACACGGCCCAGACUCCUACGGGAGGCAGCAGUAGGGAAUCUUCCGCAAUGGGCGAGAGCCUGACGGAGCGACGCCGCGUGAGCGAAGAAGGCCUUCGGGUCGUAAAGCUCUGUUGUGAGGGACGAAGGAGCGUCGUUCGAAGAGGGCGGCGCGGUGACGGUACCUCACGAGAAAGCCCCGGCUAACUACGUG
rnacentral:rRNA from 1 species